rnacentral:ncRNA from 2 species
GCCAGGCAUGGUGGCGCAUGCCUGUCGUUCUUGCUACUCAGGAGGCUGAGGCCGGAGGAUUGCUAGAACCCAGGAGUUUGAGGUUACAGUGAGCCAUGAUCGUGCCACUGUGAUCCAGCCUGGGUAACACAGCAAGACCCUGUCUCAA